AGUCGUAACAAGGUUUCCGUAGGUGAACCUGCGGAAGGAUCAUUAACAAAAUCUAUCAUAUUGACCCGUUGAACCGUGCGCAUGCAUUGAUAUGACUGAGAGGAGGAGGGCAAAUGGGCUUGUCUCGUGCUCUUUUUCUCCGGCGAUCAAUGCACGUGUUGCGUGUAAGUAAGGCCUUGGCAUCAGUUCGAUGCGGCCUUACAUUGUCUAUACGUCUAAUUUUGUCCCAAUAUUGCAAAUAAACCUAGUACAACUAUUAACAGUGGAUCUCUAGGCUCCCA
rnacentral:misc_RNA from 1 species